rnacentral:rRNA from 1 species
CUGUAUAUUGUGAUUGUGGAAUUCUAUUAUCAUUACUCACCGAAGUUAAGCAAUGUCGGGCCCGGUCAGUACUUGGGAGGGUGACCACCUGGGAACACCGGAUGCUGUAGGCU